UGAAGACUCUACUUGACUAGCUGAGAGGAGGUGCAUGGCCGUCGUCAGUUCGUACUGUGAAGCAUCCUGUUAAGUCAGGCAACGAGCGAGACCCACGCCAACAGUUGCCAGCUCGUCCUCCGGGAUGGUGGGGACACUGUUGGGACCGCCUCUGCUAAAGAGGAGGAAGGAAUGGGCAACGGUAGGUCAGCAUGCCCCGAAUUAUCUGGGCUACACGCGGGCUACAAUGGGUGGGACAAUGGGUAUCGACACCGAAAGGUGAAGGCAAUCUCCUAAACCCAUCCGUAGUUCGGAUUGUGGGCUGCAACUCGCCCACAUGAAGCUGGAAUCUGUAGUAAUCGUGUCUCAAAAUGGCACGGUGAAUAUGUCCCUGCUCCUU
rnacentral:rRNA from 1 species